rnacentral:rRNA from 1 species
AUGGUGGUGUUGUUGGUUGCUUCGCACGGCAUGUUUAUCCUGCGUUCUUCGUGUGUGCCUCUGUUUGAGGCUGUUGCGAGCUACUGUCGACUGCCGUUCCAUUCAUAUGUUCGAGAGGUGGCAUCUGAUGGUUCUCUACUUGGAGGGGUUGAGAUCGAUGUUCUUGUUAGGGAAGAUGUAGUACGGUGCCAAACACAUUUUUUCUGGGGCAGUUCGUUUGACGGCUGCUCCUCUUUAUACGAUCAGGCUGCUUAUCAGGCGGUCCAGUUUUUACAGGGCGUUUAUGGCUUUGUUAUUGCGGAUUACAAUUAUGAGAGCAUGCUAGCAUAUAAAGGUGUUGCGCAGUCGGCUGUGGUGCUUGCAGGCGCGCUUGCUCGGUCUACCUGGCCUUUGGUGCAUUCAGGUGGACAGAGGAACACCGCUGGUGUAAAUGCGAGUGUUCAGCUCCAGCUGUUGUAUUCGCAGUUGGUUGGUUCGGUUCAUGAGUUAUAG